UUGAGGCGGGGGUUGAGCAUGACAUUGUAAUGGCCGGAGUCGUGGCCUAUCCAGCCGCUCUGAAUCCAGAGGAAGCCUACUAAUGCUCCGGACAGCACGUGCACGCACGUGCUGUCAGAGAGCAGGACUCCACAGAGGGAGAGAGGGAAAAGGACGAGUAUAAGGGAGAGGAGGAUGGAAGUGGUGUGGCCCUUGCGGUUGAAGAGGUUGAGAGAGGAGAGGUCGGAGAAGAGCUUGCGGUAGUCGGAGGAGGCGGGGGAGACGGAGUGGUCCGAGAGGAGGUGGGGGGUGGCGAAGGCGGGGAGGAGGAGGGAGGCGGAGUUCGGGGGGUGCAAGGCGAGGAAGGCGUCAGUGGCGUCGGUGCCGGCGAGGCUGAGGAGGGGGAGGGGGCCGCCGGGGUGGCGGUGGAGCCAGGAGGAGACGUCGUAGACCUUGCCGUGGAUGGAGAUCCAGGCGUCGUGGCGCGUGUUGUGCUUGCGGAGCUCAUCGGAGGAAAUGUAGGAUGUGGGAGGGUCCAUUGAGUGAGAAUGGAAUAGAAGUGGUGAGGUGAGUGGGUGAGUGAGUGAGGGAAAGGGU
rnacentral:lncRNA from 1 species